UGAUUGUCUGCGUGGUCAUGUUGGUUCUCUGAUCUUCAGUUCCCAUGGGGGUAACGCAAGUGGGCAUAGAUUGAUGUCUGCACACACAGUAGGCUGCAUUACAAGAGAAGGACACUGGCCCUCGGAAACUUACUGGUUCAUUGCACCCUAUAAAUAAGCCUGGUUUUUGUCCCAGGGGGAAACAUUACCUCAUCCCAUUGAGGUUGCAAACAGAAACCUGAGGAAUGGCACUGGUAGAGUGGUCAGGUCCUUGCAUUUCUGGUCAAACUCAACAAAAAGAAUAAUUAGCCCAUGGAAGACUCUUCCAAUAGAAACUUUCAGAGAAGGUAUGGCCAGAAUAUCAACUGAUGCAAGAAGAAAAACCAAUGGACAUGGAAGCGUCAUCGAUGACACGACACGUAACUACUUUCAGCCUCAUUUCAGCGUCAUCGAUGACACGACACAUAACUACUUUCAGCCUCAUUUCAGCGUCAUCGAUGACAUGACACAUAACUACUUUCAGCCUCUAAAGAACUGACAGCAGCUAAGGAUAAUUUCUAAUGCCACAAGCUCAGGAUGGAUUUGACAAAGGAACUGCUCUGGAGAAAUAUAAUUUUUAAAGUACUGACCUUAUACUAAAAAGAAAAUAUUUGAGAAGCAAGUGGAAGAGAAUAAAAUAUUAGGGUUUGGCACUUCUGUAAGUGAGCCUAUGUGUGUGGGAAAAGUGAAGGGAUUAAAUAUAAGACCUGAAUUCCCCAUAUUUCAACUUGGAGUUGUUUAAAUUUUUUCAAACAUGUUUUUACAUUUAAAACAAAAACACCAUAAUAAUUAGAGAUAAUUAGAGAUAGUUUUUCAGUUUGCAUGACCCUGCCCAACAAGAGUCGGUCUUCACAAUCAAUUUGACCAGCAAAGUGCUCUACACCAUUUCCAAAUGCUUUUCUGUGGGCCAGUGCCAGCCUCAGUUGAGAAAUGCUAGACCAGGAGGACCAAAUUUAUUCCCCUUCUUCAAUUCCGAGCAAAAAGCAGAGUAACAGCAUGAGAACUUGGCACAGGCAGAUAAUGAUGAAGAGGAGAAAGAAUUAAUGAGGUUUAUUUAUGUACAUAGAAAUAAAUACCAUUAUGCCAAAAGUCAUAGUGUAUCAGACUUGCAGAAUUAAAAUUAAAUUGACAAACACAAAAUAUUGUAUUUUCAAAAAAAUGUUAAAUCUUACAGGUCAUUUUUUUCUUAAAGCUAAGUAGUGUGUGGCUAAUCCGAUGAAAGGACUGAAGGAUUAAUCACAUUUUGUGGUGUUAUAUUUGAUUUUGACUCAGUAAAGCUAUGUUUUGGGCAAAUAGCCAAUUGAGAAGCAAUUAUUAGACAUACAUUAGAAGCCUAAAAUAAUGCUGGUAUGAUAAAGUUAAGCUAAUGCCUAUGUUGCAAAGAGCUUUAAAGUGGAGUUUAACAGUCCCUAGAAUUUGUGGGAAUCAAAAAUUUCUAGUAAUGUAGCAUUUAACUAUAUACAAAGUAAAGUGGGA
rnacentral:lncRNA from 10 species